AACCUGAUCAGUGACUGCACUUUGAAAUCACACAAAUGUAGUUCGAUGAACUCGAAUCACAGACUAAAAAUGGUGAUCAUGGACUUCUUGGAAGGGCUGUGGUUGAGAAAGUUAAUCUCCAGUCCUGUGAAACCCUGGGUCACAGAUGAUCGUGCAGGAGCUUGUAGCAAUAUGCUUCUUGUGUGUGUUCUUGUACUGUGUAUCUCCGUCCUCAUGCUCCAGCUGUCUCCCAACACAUGAACUACAAGGCUGGUUUUCCUUGUCACGACUGUGCUUUUAAGUAGCCGUUUGUGCUGGAUAUUUUGAUUAAGAUGGUCUGAUUGGACUGAUUAAGACCUUGGGGUUUACUUUGAUGAUUUAAGUUAAUGGUGUCUCUGGCAAAGCCAGCACUUGUCAUCCCUAAGUGCUAUCAAACAGGUGACGAAAGAUUAUCUUGAAUGCUGCAAGGUAUUUCAAAGUUGUUGGGUAGGGUGUUCUAAGAUUUAAACAUGAUGGUAAAGAAGAAAUGACUCCACAUUAGCCAUUUAUUAGAAACAUAACCUGUGGGUGGUGUUCCAGUGCACCUGUUACCCUCUUUGUUUUUGAUGGAAGAGUUCACAUAACCACAGAAGUAAUUGGGUGUCGGUUUGAAUAUGCUUCCACACCAUUUGAUGAAAAUAAAAUGAGUACAGUUAAACAAUGCAAACUAGUUUGAUAUGUGGCAUAAUAUGUGGUAUAGAAUACUGUGCUGAGGUUGGUACAGUUGCAAGGAAGAUCUGCCCAGGUUCCUACUCAGGAAAGAUAAACAAAUAGUGGAAACUUGAUGAGAAAAAAUUCUCAACAUUAUAAUUUCUCGGUAAUAUCAAUGGAUGGAGAAAGAAUUGUGUGUCAGUUCAAUGACUUACAUUUCUAAUUUUUCUCUCUCGGUUGCAUGACCUGCUUCCAUUCUUUUGUCCCUGCUUCUGAUCAUGGUUUAGAAAUGAAGAACAGUUGUUCACCUCAAUAAUUAAAGCUUGUAUUAGCUCAUUCUAAGGACAUAUUUUGGUGUCACUCAUGCUAUUAACCGUGAACUGUUUGGGAUAGUUUGCAG